UGGUAACCUGUUCAAUCGCCAGGCACACGGCUCAACAUAGUUCAAUGACAGAGACUGUGGACUUAGAAUAAUUUUGGGUAAAAAAAAAAAAUUGUGAAAAUUAAUAAAAUAAAGUAGCAGCUGUCUUUGAUAUAAUCAAAAUUAACUAACUGCUAUCUUGAAAUGUAGAGAAAGUGUUUUAAAAUAGGCAUCCUAUCAUUUGAAAAUUAGUCGAAAGGCUAAGUGAUUCUCUUCCUGAGAAGAAGCUGACAGCCUUCAAACAGAGCAAAAAAAGUGGUCCCAAACAAUAUGUCAAAAUGAAUUAAAAAAUGAUACAGCUGUCUUUAAUAAGAUCAAACUGAACUAACUGCUAUCUUGAAAUGUUGAAAAAGUGUUUUUAAAUAGGCAUCCUGUGGUUCGGGCUAUGUAUUUAGGUAGAGGGGUGUUUAGUUUAUGUGGUUCGGGCUAUGUAUUUAGGUAGAGGGGUGUUUGGUUUAUGUGGUCAGGGGUUUGUUAGUCUAUGUUCUAUGUUAGUGUAUUUCUAUGUUCUGUCUUGUCUAUUGUAGUUCUAUGUUUAGUUAAUUGGGGUUGGGCCUUCAAUUGGAGGCAGCUGGUUAUCGUUGCCUCUGAUUGAAGGUCCUAUAAUUAGGAGUUUGUUUGUCAUGGGAUUUUGUGGCAGAUUGUUGCUGUGUAUAGCUUUGUGCCUUACUGGCCUGUUCUUUGUCGUCGUUUUGGGUUUUCCUUCUUUGUCCUUUAAUAAAAGAAGAUGAGUGUACAUUUUCCCACUGCGUCUUGGUUUAAACCCUACGACACCUGUGACAUUUACAUUAGGGUGUAUUGUUAGAUACUACUGCACUGUUGGAACCAGGAACACAAGCAUUUCACUACACCCACAAUAACAUCUACUAAAUAUGUGUAUGUGACCAAUAACAUUUUUAUUUGAUUGUAUUUUUGAAAGUGUUACAUAAUUCUCAAUCCGCUUUGCGUCGUGCCUAAAAACAGCACUUAGCCGUGGUACUGUAUAUUAGCCAUAUACUGUCACCACUUCCACCGAAGUCAUUUCCUCUCCUUGUUCGGCGGUCGGCGUCACCGGUCUUCUAGUCAUUGUCGAUCCACUUUUUCAUUUUCCAUUUGUUUUGUCUUGUUUUCUUACACAUCUGGUUUCCAUUUCCAUCAUGAAUUGUUGUGUAUUUAACCCUCUGUUCCCCCAUGUCCUUGUGUGGAAUUGUUUGUUUGUAAGUGCUUGUACUCUGUUACUGGUG
rnacentral:lncRNA from 1 species